GUUUUAAAAAAUAACUAUUUAUAAUACAAAUAAUAUUAUAAUUUUCUAUUUUUAAUAAACUUAUUAUAGCCAUUAACUCACAGACAUAAUUCUACUAGGAGGAAAUUCCAAAGGCGGCUGUCCCUGGUUCCAAGUUAGUUUAUUUCUGACAAUCCUGAGAAGAUAAAAGAAGACCUCUGAAGAUUCAUUCCAUCAUGGUCAGCUCUGGAAUCUUGACGGGGACCGGUUUGGCUCUCUGACUACUUUUCUAUCUGUCAUUUUAAUUGCAAGUAAUUCUUUCCGGAAUCAAAUCUCGAUGGUAAAGUAGUGGUACUGAAACUCUCAAAUCAGGAAAAUAACUAUGGAUUACACAAGCAUUGUGGAGAGUCUCCAGGGUAGAAAAAACAUCAGUAACAUCGUCUAAUAUUUCCUUUCCAUCCAUGGAUUCCAGGCUGUAUGCCAGUGGUGGAUUCUGGAUCUCGUUCCACCAGAUCGGGCCCGGUGUUGCCCACAUGGACACGCGCAGUGUGCACGCACACGCACGCGGCUCAUACAUGUGUUGUAGCUGCCAGAAAUGCUUCCGCAGGCCUCCGCGGCCCUCCAGCUGCUCAGCGGAACGUUGCACAGGGCUGUAUGCGCCAUG